rnacentral:tRNA from 2 species
GCCCAGGUGGUGGAACGGCAGACACAGGGGACUUAAAAUCCCCUGGCCCUCGGGCCGUGCGGGUUCGAAUCCCGCCCUGGGCACCA